rnacentral:rRNA from 1 species
UACAGGGGGGGCUAGCGUUGUUCGGAAUUACUGGGCGUAAAGGGUUCGUAGGUGGCUCGCUAAGUCAGACGUGAAAUCCCUCAGCUUAACUGGGGAACUGCGUCUGAGACUGGCGAGCUCGAGUGCAGGAGAGGAACGCGGAAUUCCAGGUGUAGCGGUGAAAUGCGUAGAUAUCUGGAGGAACACCGGUGGCGAAGGCGGCGUUCUGGACUGCAACUGACACUGAGGAACGAAGCCAGGGUAGCAAACGGGAUUAGAUACCCCAGUAGUCC